rnacentral:lncRNA from 12 species
CCAGUGCCCAUUUUCUUCCUGUUACAAAGUCAUCUGUUUCAUUGGGCCUUAAGGAGUAUUGCAAACAGGUAACCAGUCAAAAUGGAUAUAGUCAGAUGUUAUUGAUGAAAGUCAGAGAUUUUCCUUAGAAGAUAUGUGUAUCUUGGCAUCCGACCCUCCAACAUCUUGCAUGACUUCUACUGAUAUAUAUCUGGGUGUCAUCCUGGAGUUUCUGAAUGCCAGUUUGUGGUGGCCUAUUUUUAUCCUGACAUUUUUGUCCAUCCUCUGAAUUUCAUCAUGGGGAAGAAACAGCAGUUUGUCUCAGAGCAGCUCAAUUUCGAUCUCCAGGUGACA